rnacentral:rRNA from 1 species
AACGCUGGCGGCGUGCCUAACACAUGCAAGUCGAGCGAUGAAGCUUCUUCGGGAAGUGGAUUAGCGGCGGACGGGUGAGUAACACGUGGGCAACCUGCCUCAUAGUGGGGAAUAGCCUCUCGAAAGGGAGAUUAAUACCGCAUAAGAUUGUAGUUCCGCAUGGAAUAGCAAUUAAAGGAUUUAUUCGCUAUGAGAUGGGCCCGCGGCGCAUUAGCUAGUUGGUGAGGUAACGGCUCACCAAGGCGACGAUGCGUAGCCGACCUGAGAGGGUGAUCGGCCACAUUGGGACUGAGACACGGCCCAGACUCCUACGGGAGGCAGCAGUGGGGAAUAUUGCACAAUGGGGGAAACCCUGAUGCAGCAACGCCGCGUGAGUGAUGACGGCCUUCGGGUUGUAAAGCUCUGUCUUUAGGGACGAUAAUGACGGUACCUGAGGAGGAAGCCACGGCUAACUACGUG